AUGGCUUUUUCUGGUUGCGUGAAAGAAGGUGGUUAUUGCCAUAACAUGCGUGACUUUUGUAAAGAGGAGAGAGAGAAAGGGUGCCCUCAGGUCCUGGGGCAGGCCUCCUGUGACUUGUCCCUUCCAGGGGGCACAACAGGC
rnacentral:snoRNA from 1 species